rnacentral:rRNA from 1 species
CUUGACGCUGGCGGCAGGCCCAACACAUGCAAGUCGGGCGAGCGGCGGACGGGUGAGUAAUGUAUGGGGAUCUGCCUGAUGGAGGGGGAUAACUACUGGAAACGGUAGCUACUACCGCAUACUCUCAGAUGAACCCAGAUGGGAUUAGCUUGUCAGUGCUGUAACGGCUCACCUAGGCGACUCGCUCUAGCUGGUCUGAGAGGAUGAUCAGACACACUGGGCCUGAGACACGGCCCAGUCUCUCACGUGAGGCAGCAGUGGGGAAUAUUGCACCAUGGGCGCAACCCUGAUGCAGCCAUGCCGCAUGUAUGAAGAAGGCCUGCGGGUUUUAAAGUACUUUCAGUCGGAGGGCGUUACCGACAGAAGAAGCACCGGCUAACUCCGUGCCAGCCGCCGCGGUAAUAC